rnacentral:rRNA from 1 species
ACUCUAGAGAUAGAGUCUUCCCCUUCGGGGGACAAAGUGACAGGUGGUGCAUGGUUGUCGUCAGCUCGUGUCGUGAGAUGUUGGGUUAAGUCCCGCAACGAGCGCAACCCUUAAGCUUAGUUGCCAGCAUUAAGUUGGGCACUCUAAGUUGACUGCCGGUGACAAACCGGAGGAAGGUGGGGAUGACGUCAAAUCAUCAUGCCCCUUAUGAUUUGGGCUACACACGUGCUACAAUGGACAAUACAAAGGGCAGCUAAACCGCGAGGUCAUGCAAAUCCCAUAAAGUUGUUCUCAGUUCGGAUUGUAGUCUGCAACUCGACUACAUGAAGCUGGAAUCGCUAGUAAUCGUAGAUCAGCAUGCUACGGUGAAUACGUUCCCGGGUCUUGUACACACCGCCCGUCACACCACGAGAGUCUGUAACACCCGAAGCCGGUGGAGUAACCAUUUAUGGAGCUAGCCGUCGAAGGUGGGACAAAUGAUUGGGGUGAAGUCGUAACAAGGUAGCCGUAUCGGAAGGU